UGCGUAGACGGUUACGUAAGUCGGGUGUGAAAGCCCCGGGCUCAACCUGGGAAUUGCAUUCGAGACUGCAUAGCUAGGGUGCGGAAGAGGGAAGCGGAAUUUCAGGUGUAGCGGUGAAAUGCGUAGAUAUCUGAAGGAACACCAGUGGCGAAGGCGGCUUCCUGGUCCAGCACCGACGUUCAGGCACGAAAGCGUGGGGAGCAAACA
rnacentral:rRNA from 1 species